ACAUAAAGCUGGUUAGGUUUAAAUGAUGCACACAUUGUUUUUUCUUGAAAUCAAGAUUAAUCAGGCAAAAAUCCUGCCACUAGGUUUUGGGCUUCUUGGAACCGAAAGCUCAAAAUGAGAUCUGGAAGUUAAGAUGGUUAGGAACAGAUACAAGCUUUUGCUCAGAACCUCUGGCAUUCACAGCACAACAGUAGCACACUGGUCAAACUAUUCAGUGUACGAUGUACAAUGUAUUAUGACACGUUACAAAAGAUGGAUUGUACGUGCAUCUUUACACAGCUCCGAGAUUGUGCCUUCCCUGGGAGGAGCCAAUGUGCCAACAGUGAUAUUUGAUGGAACAGUGCUUCACUGUAUGCAAACUUUUACAUAGAGAGUAAAACACAUGAAGGCAGCGGGCCAUAAAGUAUGUACACACACAUAUGAAUGCACACACACAAAGCACUCGAGUGCUGUGAAGCACACAGUAAUAGGGCAUCUAGUACCUGAAGACCAUCUCUAUACCUUUACAUCUGGAAUAUGUCAUUCACGUUAGAGUGAAUUUUUCAGUACUAAAUAAAACACUUAAAGGAAAUAUAAGUGAACAAAGACACAUAUGAAAAUAGGAAUGUGUAUUUACAAUAGAGAUUAUUGUAUUUGGUCUCUUCAUAUCUACUAUGAGGAAUGUUCACUUUCUGCCGUUAAAAAUUCACGUACUAUAAACAUUAUAGAUGCAAGGGCUCCAAUUGUGCAAAUUCUAGCACAUGAUCUUAAGCCUUUGCAAGAUAGGGACCUAGGAUCCUAAGGCCUUGAGCAAAUAGACACUCAGAAACAUUUGCAGUCUCAAGCAAAGCAGGAAUAUGCUGGCAGAUAUGUUUAAGUGCUGCAGCUGGCAAAGAAUCUGGUCUUUGAGGAAUGCUGGAAAGUCAUAGGAAAGGUCACUUUUCAUAUCAGAAUAAAGCACAAUAGAAAUACAUCUGUUCAGUAAAAGGUACCUCUCUGUCACUAAAGCAUGAAAUGCUGUUUGUUUCUCUGCAAAAUGCAAUAGCUUCAUAUGAUGACAGUCUGCAUAAUUCAGCUUAAAGAAAUUAAUUUAAAUGAAAUACAGGCUUUAGGUUUAAUUCUCAUCCUAAAUCUUAGUUGUUUUUUUCUUUUUUAAAGAGAUCUACAUUAAUAUGUGAUGAAGGUGGCUAUUAAAUUGCUAUAACCAGCGUGAUUAUUAGAAUUUAUCAUGUAGUCUGGAACUUCUGAAGUACUGUCUCCAAAAGAAGUAGAAAAGAGAUAAAUACAGAAAUAACUGAGGCAUACAGCUACAUGCCAUACACUCCGCUGCAGAGGCUGCACAAAAUGAUGGCUCUGCUGGAUACCUCCAAAACCUUUUGUGGUGAUCCAUACCGAGUGUUUCAGUGUCUGCGCUGGAUAGUUUGAUGGAUCUGAACUGGAAUGACGUUCCACACAGAAGAGACAGAAACAAGUGCAGAAACCUUGGCAGUGCUGCUGUUGGCUGUUUGCUGGUGGUGAGGAUAUGGAGACUAAUCAACAGUGUAGCUCAGGACACGACACACAGAGGCAUUCUCACCUUUUUGUGUUUCUACUGUUGGCCACUAAUGGCUUCAGCAACAUUCCCCCCAGUGUUCCCAAGAACUUUGGUGAUCCCUCACUAGUGAUGUAGGCAUCAGUAAGGCAGCCACACAGACAAGACUUUGAGGAACAAAAUCCA